ACCGCCCGCCCGGGCCUCGCCGCCUCCCUGCCCGCGCACCACCUGUCCCGGGGGUCGAUCCAGCUGGUCUGCUUGGUGUUGUGGUCGAUGUAGAAGACUUUGCCGUCGUAAUCCCUCGCCUCCUCCCAGCCAUCGGAACCUCCAGUGAAGAGUACGUGCACGCCGUGGGUGCCCUGGACUGCUGUGGCCUGAAAAGCAAGCAGCUAAGUCGCAUUAAGUACAGACACCAGGUGUGAGUUACUGAGUGUUGAUCUCUCAUUUGCCAUAGGAGAAGAGUACCCCAGGCUGGUUACCAUGGUUCAGCUGAUAGAAGGUAACUUAAUGAGCUCUAUUAAUUUGCAUGUGUAUCUGAUUCCCAAGAUCUGGCACCAGAAGUAGAGCAUCAAUAGGGGAAUAUGACUCUUUAGUUUAGCAGCUAGGACCCCUAGGUAACUCAAGUCCCUGUUUCCUAGAAUGUUUUAUUUCUUUUCAUUUAAAGUUACUGGCUUUAAGUAACAAGAUUUUCCUGGAAGAGGAAGCCUUGAAACCACAGCUGGUUGUUGUUUGGGGGUUUUUUGUUGUUUGUUUUGGGUUUUUCUUUGUUUUUGUUCAUUUUGUUUUGCUUGGUUUUUGGGUUUUUUAAAUGUCUGUUUAUCUUCUCCAUUAUAGCUUUCUAGUAUUCAGCUCUAUAAAUUAUUCUUCUGGGGCAAUUUAUACUUAUUAAGUACUGGAUUUGUUCUGUGUAUAACAAGUUUUUGGGUUCCACUUCAGAGGCCACAUAUCUGACAAGCAUUGAUGUAACUAAUUUACAGCUAUCUAAGUCCUAUUGUUGGGGUGCUCCUAAACAGAAAAAUGUACCAGCAAGAUACUAUUUUAAUUUAGCUAAUUGCCAGUCUGAUACAGAUAAGAUCUGUAUUCUUUUUAGUCAUUCUACUUAUUUUAUUCUGCAACCUUGUUUCCAAAUGACCCAUAUGCCUCCCUCCUCCAGGCUCUCUUGAAGAUGUUGGCAUCUGUUGUAUUAAGGUAAUGUGUGGUGAAACUACAUCCAUGAAGUAAGGUCCUGGUAGUUAACAGUGGAGAAAAACUGAGCUGUCCUAACUUCUAGGUAUCCAUAAGAGUUGAGCCACUUAGGGAAUGCAGCAGGAUCAUUGCCUUUUAAAGAGACAGAUGCAUUUAUUUUCAUUGAGAAUAUUGUUUCAAUGAUUGGAUUGGUUUGUAACAGCCAGUUUUCUCGUCCAUCAGUACAAAAAAUCCCCACUUUUACUAAGCAGUUAGUUUGUGUCCUUUUAAACAUUCUAAUCAGUUUUAUAAUUUGUCUAUAGUUGUUGCCCUACAGUGAGAAAUUACAUGUGGCAGUUGUAGGACAGGAUAAACUGAAUUUCCUUUUCCAUAUUAAAGUUCAGUUUGUAUUAUCAAUAAAACAUUUUGUUAUGUAACUUGAUCAAAAUCUAUAGAGGAUACACUUUUUUUUUCUGAAACUACAUGCCAGUUACUUAUCUUUGGCAUUAACCAGGAGCUUUUAUAACAAUACAGCCUUUUUCAUCUUGAAAAAGUAGGCCUGUUAUACAGCAGCAGUCCUGUACUCCUAGUCCCUAAAUAAUUCACACAAAAGAAAGAAUAAAAUUAGAAAACCUGGAAUACCAAGACAAAACUGGAAUUUGUGUCAAUGCUUCCUCUGAAGGUAGUCAUGGCAGCUAAGGGAACACUCAGUUCCUAUUCUCUGUCACCACCAAGGCAACCAGACCCACAUCUUUGAUUACUGGUCAGAUGAGAUCCACAUGGAUGUGGAUCUGAGGUAUAACCAUAUUUACCAAUGUAAUAAUUCUCAUCAGAAGACACCAAUAUUUUAAUUUGCAUGAAUAAAUGGAAAUGGUAGUUCUUAAAUUUUGGAAAUAAAUAGACUGAAGUCUUUGCAUAAUUGUCUAAUUUUUAUAUAUAUACUUGUGUGUCUAUACAGAGAUGUGCUUACACUGAAGUAUAAACUGCUGCAUGGUGUUAGGCUCUCCCCUUCCUCCCUUUAUUUUCCAUUGUUUGAGUACUUUGUUGUGUUUUCAUCCAUGGUUAGAGUCUACAGUCCAGAAUGCUAGUUUAGGACUACAUGACAAUAUUUGAAGUCAGAUGGGCAAAAAGUAUGUGUUAUUUGUGUAAAUACACUUUUAAUAUUGCCAGCGAGAACAUGUCUUUUUGAAGGUAUUUUUUCCAGUAUACCUCCUGCAUUUCAACUGAUAACCUGCCUAGCAUGUUGUGCUGACAUUGUCAGCUGACAGCAUACCACAGAUUGUUUGGCUUAAUCGCAUAAGACAGCAUAGUUCAGAAGAUGUAAGCAUGUUUUAUUCAAACACAGAAGGGUUCAUAUGAAGGAGGUGUCCAAAAGCAUGGGACAAUGUAGCUAAGGCAUGAUUUAAGUAUCUAUCAGAAAGUAUGAUAAAUAACAAGAGGUAACCAAUGCAAAGAAGCUAAUCAUUCCUAUCUUUUGCUUUGCAUAUGUAUGAUUAAUUGGCCUGAAGAAAUUCCCAUGGCCUACGUAGGAGAAAGUACGGAGCAAUUACAUGUUUUGAGUCAAGACAUACUAUGAAUCUGAAAGCUGGUUAUCCAAACCCAGAAUUCCAAUGUUGGCGCUUUUUUGAGGAUUGAAACAAUUUGAAGAACACAGCAUGAUAUUGUUAUGUCCACAUUUUGGUGAACAUCAAAAAAAGAAUCGUGUUAAGUGACACGAUGGAGUAAAAAAUACCUAUAUGAAAUAGGAUGGGUAUUAAAAUGUUGAGUGCUUUCCGCUCCCGAACUGAAUCUAUUAAACUGAAUUGUGUCAAUUUUAUUAUUUCAAUAUGUGGUCUCAGAAAUGCUUGGGAUAAGCUUUGUUAUCACAAAGAAAACAGAAUUCAUACAGAAAUUCCUUUAUUUGGUAUCUUAUUCCCUGGUAAAAUGGAGCACUCCACAUA